GGGCCUCUAGCUCAAUUGGCAGAGCAGCGGACUUUUAAUCCGCGGGUUGUGGGUUCGAGUCCCACGGGGCCCACCU
rnacentral:tRNA from 1 species